rnacentral:rRNA from 1 species
UAGAGUUUGAUCAUGGCUCAGAUUGAACGCUGGCGGCAGGCCUAACACAUGCAAGUCGAGCGGAAACACAAGGGAGCUUGCUCCUGAGGUGUCGAGCGGCGGACGGGUGAGUAAUGCCUAGGUAUCUGCCCAGUCGAGGGGGAUAACAGUUGGAAACGACUGCUAAUACCGCAUACGCCCUACGGGGGAAAGGAGGGGACCUUCGGGCCUUUCGCGAUUGGAUGAACCUAGGUGGGAUUAGCUAGUAGGUGGGGUAAUGGCUCACCUAGGCAACGAUCCCUAGCUGGUCUGAGAGGAUGAUCAGCCACACUGGAACUGAGACACGGUCCAGACUCCUACGGGAGGCAGCAGUGGGGAAUAUUGCACAAUGGGCGAAAGCCUGAUGCAGCCAUGCCGCGUGUAUGAAGAAGGCCUUCGGGUUGUAAAGUACUUUCAGCGGGGAGGAAAGGUAGGUAGUUAAUAACUGCUUACUGUGACGUUACUCGCAGAAGAAGCACCGGCUAACUUCGUGCCAGCAGCCGCGGUAAUACGAGGGGUGCAAGCGUUAAUCGGAAUUACUGGGCGUAAAGCGUACGCAGGCGGUUUGUUAAGCAAGAUGUGAAAGCCCCGGGCUCAACCUGGGAACUGCAUUUUGAACUGGCAAACUAGAGUCCUGUAGAGGGGGGUAGAAUUUCA